GACGAACGCUGGCGGCGUGCCUAACACAUGCAAGUCGAGCGGGGAGAGAUUUUCGGAUCUCUCUUUAGCGGCGGACGGGUGAGUAACACGUGGGUAACCUGCCUCAAAGAGGGGGAUAGCCUUCCGAAAGGAAGAUUAAUACCGCAUAAUAUCAGGAAGCUGCAUGGCAUUCUGAUUAAAGGGGCAAUCCGCUUUGAGAUGGACCCGCGGCGCAUUAGCUAGUUGGUGAGGUAACGGCCCACCAAGGCGACGAUGCGUAGCCGACCUGAGAGGGUGAUCGGCCACAUUGGAACUGAGACACGGUCCAGACUCCUACGGGAGGCAGCAGUGGGGAAUAUUGCACAAUGGGGGAAACCCUGAUGCAGCAACGCCGCGUGAGUGAUGAAGGCCUUCGGGUCGUAAAGCUCUUUGAUCAGGGACGAUAAUGACGGUACCUGAAAAACAAGCCACGGCUAACUACGUGCCAGCAGCCGCAGUAACAC
rnacentral:rRNA from 1 species